CAUCAAGGAUAAUAUGAUGACGGCUCUGAUGG
rnacentral:snoRNA from 1 species